rnacentral:rRNA from 1 species
GGCGCGAAACCUCUGCAAUAGGCGAAAGCCUGACAGGGUUACUCUGAGUGGUUCCCGCUAAGGGGAUCUUUUGGCACCUCUAAAAAUGGUGCAGAAUAAGGGGUGGGCAGCCUGGUGUCAGCCGCCGCGGUAAUACCAGCACCCCGAGUGGUCGGGACGAUUAUUGGGCCUAAAGCAUCCGUAGCCGGUCAUGCAAGUCUUCCGUUAAAUCCAGCCGCUCAACGGUUGGGCUGCGGAGGAUACUACGUGGCUAGGAGGCGGGAGAGGCAAGCGGUACUCAGUGGGUAGGGGUAAAAUCCUUUGAUCCAUUGAAGACCACCAGUGGCGAAGGCGGCUUGCCAGAACGCGCUCGACGGUGAGGGAUGAAAGCUGGGGGAGCAAACCGGAUUANAUACCCGGGUAGUCCCAGCUGUAAACGAUGCAGACUCGGUGAUGGGAUGGCCUCGAGCUAUCCCAGUGCCGCAGGGAAGCCGUUAAGUCUGCCGCCUGGGGAGUACGGGCUCAA